GGAGAGAGCCCCUGACCCGGGGGAGGGCACUUGCCGCAGCCACUGGGCCUCUAGCUCAUGUUCUAGGGGAAAGCCCCUCACUUCGGACGCCUCCCGAGAUGCGUGAUUGUGGGAGAAGUGGCAGAAACCAGCACGGAGCCUAUCUCCUGCCUAGCUCUUGGGGGCUGAGAGGGCGGGCGGUGUGGGCAGAAGGGAGGGUACAGACUUCUCACAGACAGGGGCCAAUUCCUGUUGAAGAGGUCACAUCCCCAGGGCUGCCCUUUGAGACAUUUCCUGCCUGAUCGGAUCACAGAAACCAGCAGAAAAGGAGACAAACACAGGGUAACUGCAAGUGCCACCUGUCCCACCUGCAUCUUUGUUUCGGCCCAGCGCCCACCUUGACUUAGGACUCAGCAUUCUUCAUGUAUCCCCGGGAGAAUCUUCUGGCUCCUGAAGCACUCGUGGGCCAUGCAGCUUGUAAUGAUGUAUUCGCGGGAAGGUGGAGGAGGAGGAUGCCAGGGGGGCAUCCUUUGCAUGGAAUACAGUGUGACUGGCGCCCCCUGGAGGUUCUGCUUUUCGGGGGAACUCAGACGAAGACAAUCUCAAGGUAUUCUCUCUCCCCAACAACUGCCAACAGCGCCUUCCUCUCUGCAGCCCCUUCCCAGCCCCCGUCUUCUUAGCUGCAGUUUCUUCUCUCCCGGAUCUCACCCCCAGCCAACAUCACCUCCAGAGAACAGCUGUGCCCCGCACAGAUGCUGUUUCCCUCUCCACCCCACUCACCCCGCCCCCCCCCGCCCCGCAAUGUCAGACAGAGUUUUUCCCAUAACUUAAGGAAAUGGGAAAGCCUCUCCCCGGAUAUGGACUUAACCCAGAGGAGGUAAAGCAGGAAUGAAAUGGCAGUACUCGUGUUGUUUGAUCUUUUACUUAACGGCAUCUCUCCCAAUUCCCAGCAGAUAGGAGAGGUGGCAGAUUAAAGAUGGCCACCAAUGCUUUCACACUCCUCCCAUCAAGAGGAGGGAGUCUAGAUGCCCCCUCCUUUAAAUCUGGGUGGGCUCUGUGAUGUCUUUGACCGAUAGAAUAUGGCAGAAGGGACGCUGUGCCAAUUUUGGUGCCCUGGCCUUAAGAGACGGGCAGCUUCCACGUCCUGCCUCUUGGAACACUCACUCCUGGAGCUGCCAUGUAAGAAGUCCCACUCACCCACUACAGACACCACAUGGAGAGGCCCUGAGUGGCAUGAAGAGGGAGAGCAGCCCAGUGAGCCAAGCCUUCUAGCCUUUUCUGCCGAGGCACCUGACAUGGUCCACCUUGACCCUGCAGACCAGCCAGGCUGCCAGUGACUACCACUGAGUGAUGGCAGCAGAUGCUGCAAUGAACAAAAGAAUCACCCAGCUGAGGCCCGCCCUCAUUCUGGUCCCCAAAGUUGUGAGAUAUAAUAAAAUGGUUUUCUUUGGAAGCCCCUGGAUUUUG
rnacentral:lncRNA from 1 species